rnacentral:rRNA from 1 species
CUUUUACAAUGAAGAGUUUGAUCCUGGCUCAGGAUGAACGCUAGCUACAGGCUUAACACAUGCAAGUCGAGGGGCAGCAUUUUAGUUUGCUUGCAAACUAAAGAUGGCGACCGGCGCACGGGUGAGUAACACGUAUCCAACCUGCCGAUAACUCGGGGAUAGCCUUUCGAAAGAAAGAUUAAUAUCCGAUAGUAUAUUAAAACCGCAUGGUUUUACUAUUAAAGAAUUUCGGUUAUCGAUGGGGAUGCGUUCCAUUAGUUUGUUGGCGGGGUAACGGCCCACCAAGACUACGAUGGAUAGGGGUUCUGAGAGGAAGGUCCCCCACAUUGGAACUGAGACACGGUCCAAACUCCUACGGGAGGCAGCAGUGAGGAAUAUUGGUCAAUGGACGAGAGUCUGAACCAGCCAAGUAGCGUGAAGGAUGACUGCCCUAUGGGUUGUAAACUUCUUUUAUAUGGGAAUAAAGUAUUCCACGUGUGGAAUUUUGUAUGUACCAUAUGAAUAAGGAUCGGCUAACUCCGUGCCAGCAGCCGCGGUAAUACGGAGGAUCCGAGCGUUAUCCGGAUUUAUUGGGUUUAAAGGGAGCGUAGGUGGAUUGUUAAGUCAGUUGUGAAAGUUUGCGGCUCAACCGUAAAAUUGCAGUUGAAACUGGCAGUCUUGAGUACAGUAGAGGUGGGCGGAAUUCGUGGUGUAGCGGUGAAAUGCUUAGAUAUCACGAAGAACUCCGAUUGCGAAGGCAGCUCACUAGACUGCAACUGACACUGAUGCUCGAAAGUGUGGGUAUCAAACAGGAUUAGAUACCCUGGUAGUCCACACAGUAAACGAUGAAUACUCGCUGUUUGCGAUAUACAGUAAGCGGCCAAGCGAAAGCAUUAAGUAUUCCACCUGGGGAGUACGCCGGCAACGGUGAAACUCAAAGGAAUUGACGGGGGCCCGCACAAGCGGAGGAACAUGUGGUUUAAUUCGAUGAUACGCGAGGAACCUUACCCGGGCUUAAAUUGCAUUUGAAUAAUCUGGAAACAGGUUAGCCGCAAGGCAAAUGUGAAGGUGCUGCAUGGUUGUCGUCAGCUCGUGCCGUGAGGUGUCGGCUUAAGUGCCAUAACGAGCGCAACCCUUAUCUUUAGUUACUAACAGGUCAUGCUGAGGACUCUAGAGAGACUGCCGUCGUAAGAUGUGAGGAAGGUGGGGAUGACGUCAAAUCAGCACGGCCCUUACGUCCGGGGCUACACACGUGUUACAAUGGGGGGUACAGAAGGCAGCUACCUGGCGACAGGAUGCUAAUCCCAAAAACCUCUCUCAGUUCGGAUCGAAGUCUGCAACCCGACUUCGUGAAGCUGGAUUCGCUAGUAAUCGCGCAUCAGCCAUGGCGCGGUGAAUACGUUCCCGGGCCUUGUACACACCGCCCGUCAAGCCAUGAAAGCCGGGGGUACCUGAAGUACGUAACCGCAAGGAGCGUCCUAGGGUAAAACUGGUAAUUGGGGCUAAGUCGUAACAAGGUAGCCGUACCGGAAGGUGCGGCUGGAACACCUCCUUUCU